AUCCAAACAGCUGGAGCAGUUUUCUGCAAAGACCAGUUGCCAGUACUUUAGAGAGAGUUGUCUUUCUGCUGAAGAUCUUUACAUUUACAUAGCCUUCCAGAGAGCAAGACAGAUCAGAGCACCAAAAAACCUAAACUGUUGCAAGUUCCAACUACGGGUUUGGCUCAAGUCCUCGGCAGCAUUGCUCUUGCUUAAUGUGAAACUUGGAAGCAACCCUGGGUAAAUAAGCCAGGGUAAUAUUCUACGGGAUGAUCAUAACUACUUGAAGAAGAAG
rnacentral:lncRNA from 1 species